rnacentral:tRNA from 1 species
UAGAAAAGAGAGAUUAUGCUCUAUAGAUGGGGUAUGAACCCAUUAGCUUAUAUUUUUAGCUUACUUUUCU